rnacentral:lncRNA from 10 species
CUUUCGUGUCGGGGGUUGGGGUGUUCACACUUAAACAUAAAUCAACUGGCAAAUUCAGCCCAACUCACGUGCUGGCCCUGUCCACACAGACGUCGACUCCAGCAAAAAUGUCCUGACUGACUUCAGGAGAGAGGAAUUAUUGCUACGUGCCUCUUUCCCAGUGAAGAAAAUCUCUGUUGGCUGCGAGCAGAGAAGCGGCGGAAGGAUUCCCGACUCCGGGAAGCCAGGUGUCGGAAGGAGGAAGUACGCUUGAAGGGGGUCCGGCUGGCCGACUCUGCACUCGUCCGUUCGUGGCCCACCGUGGUGGUCACCAAAUUGAGGGCUUCCUGGAAGGACCUCCUCACGGUGCCCAUCCACUGGGUCAUGUGGGUCUGGGCCACUGUGAGUUUAUCUCCCAGGUAAUCCAUGGGGCCAGCCAGGAGGAGAGGGAAGAAGGAAGUUAGGGAGGGAGAGAGCAAUUAAAACGCCAGUGUCCUCUUGCCUCUUUGGACUCUUUUGCUCAUGGAAGUUUUGGGCUUGCUUGGAGGAAAAAAAAUUAAAAACAGCAGCUUUCUUCAGGCAAACCAAGGGUAAGUAAACAUCCCUGAGCCAGGAGCCGGCUGCAUCCACGGGUGCCGCUCAGAAUUAAGAGGCAGCUAAGUGCCAGGCUGGGAGUCCACCCCAGCGGAGUUAUAAAGUCAACACACUGGGCAGUCCAGGUUCCAGUUCCAGGGCUCACCCAGCUGAUCGGCCGAGACAAGGAGCUUUGAGGAACAAGCCGGCUGCACUCACUCCAGGGCGUGACGGUCCCGAAAGGCGGGGGAUGGGGAUGGGGGUGGGGGUGGAGGGGGCGGCCUUUGGGCACCCUCGUCCUCACUUCCCUUCAGGUAGGCAGCCCCCCUGAGGUGCACCCUGGGAGGUUCCGGUGGGCAAGCUGCCGCACCCUGCUGCCCCCUGCCCGGCUGCCCUCGGCCAGACCCCGCUCACCUGACCCAUGCAGGUUUUCUGUCCUCUGGCUGGAGAUUCCAAACCUGUCGGCCGGCAGGCGGCUAGCUCACUUCCGGAGGCAGCCACCAGGGCCCCCGGGUCCCCUGGCUGAGCAGCCCGGGAUGACAUCAGCCCCCGUCUUAGCGAGGGGCUUCGCUGCCCAGGAAUGCAGGAGGGGCCUCGGGGAGGCGGAGGCGGUGGCGGCGGCCGCCCAGGGAGCUGACGUCCGCCCCCAUUUUUUUCUCCCCCAAGUCCCAACUCGCUCACGGUCCCUCGGGGCUGAUGGCAACUUCACGUGCCUGCCAGCCUACCCACCCCUGUGCCCUCACAGCAAGCGCACCAGGAAAUGCGGCUGCACGUGUGUGCAUGUGUGUGCACUCUGUGUGUGUGUGCGUGUAUGUCGGCGAUCUGGCAGCCCCCUGUCUCUCCCUCCCUCUCUGGAAGGCAACACUGAUCCAGGAUCUCACUCUGUUGCCCAGGCUGGACUGCAGUGGCAUGAUCACAGCUCACUGCAGCCUUGGCCUCCCAGGCUCAAGCGAUCCUCCCACCUCAGCCUCCUCGGUAGCUAGGACUACAGGUGGAGCAACACCGUCAGUCAGAAGGCAGCGGAUGGCACAGGGCUUCCGCGUAAGGCCUGCAUCGCCUGAGUCAUGGUUUUCUCAUCUUGUAUGAGGCCCACCCCCUUCAAAAGGUUGUGACAAAAAAAACAACUGAGAUAAUUUGUGCCGCUGGCACAUAGUUAACACUCAAUAAGGCCGGGCGCAGUGGCUUACACCUCUAAUCCCAGCACUUUGGGAGGCUGAGGCAGGUGGAUCACUUGAGGCCAGGAGUUCGAUACCAGCCUGACCAACAUGGUGAAACCCCAUCUCAACUAAAAAUACAAAAAUUAGCCAGGCAUGGUGGUGUGCACCUGUAGUCCCAGCUACUUGGGAGCCUGAGGCAGGAGCAUCUCUUGAACCCGGGAGGUGGAGGUUGCAGUGAGCGGAGAUGGCACCACUGCACUCCAGCCUGGGCGACAGAACAAGACUCUGUCUCAAAACAACAACAACAACAAAAUAAUAAAUGGUGACCACAAGGGAUGAUCGUUUUUCUAUUAUAAUUCCUAUCAUCUCACUGUUCAAAUGAAUCACAGGACCCUAGACAGUCAGAAUCAAGACACCAGCAGGGACCAACCUAGGCCAACCUUCCCACUAAACUGAAGAAACAGGCCCAGACCGAGGGCUGCCCUAAGGCCUCACAGUCCAUCUGCAGCAGG